UCAUCACAUUUACUUUUUCCGCAUGUGGAAUAUGGAUUGAUGAGUGCUCUCACUUUGCAGGAAGGCCUCCAGGUUUUUCACAUAGUCUGCAUACUUCCCAGCGUCGGUUCUGUUGAAAGCGAUGUCCAGCGAGUUGGGAAGGAUCACCAACCCUGCAAGAGGGCAGCGUGACGUAGGAAGGAGACAUCGGACAUUCCAACCCAGCUACGAAAGCAGCCCCCAGACAGGACAUUUCACGGUGCCGGCAUCUCUCGACCUUCCUACCAAACAGGUCUGCAGUGAGCUGCAUGAUGAAGUCAUUUGAGGAAACCCCGCCGUCCACCCUGACAUGCAAACAAGCCGCUGAAAGACGGGACAAAACACACGCCGUCUGAGUCACUGACGCUGUAAGCCAUGGUGCUCGUGUCCUCCACGUCAGAGAAGAGAUCUGCAAAUUACGAGGCGGAUGGUUGCUUAAUUUUAUGUGACACACGACCCCUUCAAUACUGGCCAAUUGACUGAUCUUUAUUGUUAAUGUAGGAGCUAUUUAUUAGUGUGUUCCUAGGUUUCUGAUAUCUGUUGAUUUAUUUUUUGUUGUUGUUGUUUUGUUUGGAUUACUUGAUAAUAUUUUCUUGUUAUUUAUUUAUUUUGUUUAUCUAUCAUAUUUUGUUGGGGUUAAUUAGUAGUUAAUUUCUGGGUUUAUUUCAUUGGAUAACACCCUGGGCACCUGCAAUAUAUUUAGGUAGGCAGUGUUCACAGGACCAGCAUGCACCGGGUUGCCUAUGGUUUUUGUACCAGCGCAAGAGAGGCAACAGGAAAAGGCCCUUGUUCCUUUUUUGUUUGUUUGCUUGCUUGGUAAUAAAAGGAAAGAAGAAGAAACGGAACAAGAUUGUUUGGACAAUGACUCUUUUGCCUGCGUAAAACAAAACCCAUGGUGCAUCAGUGGCCUUUUGAUUAUAAGUUCCGUUUAUUAUUUUAGUGAAGGACAAAUAGCCACUACAGUUAAUAUUGUGUUCUGUGACAAUAUAAACAUGGAAACCACCAAAAGAAAGAUUAGACCCCUGAAAAAAAAAAGUUCAUGUUCUCUGCCGAGCUCUUAUCGUAUGCACUUCUGCC